rnacentral:piRNA from 1 species
GGAAGGAAGGAAGCAAAACUUGCUCACAGU